rnacentral:rRNA from 1 species
AGUGAACGCUGGCGGUAGGCCUAACACAUGCAAGUCGAACGGCAGCACAGUAAGAGCUUGCUCUUACGGGUGGCGAGUGGCGGACGGGUGAGGAAUACAUCGGAAUCUACUUUUUCGUGGGGGAUAACGAAGGGAAACUUACGCUAAUACCGCAUACGACCUACGGGUUAAAGCAGGGGAUCUUCGGACCUUGCGCGAUUGAAUGAGCCGAUGUCGGAUUAGCUAGUUGGCGGGGUAAAGGCCCACCAAGGCGACGAUGCGUAGCUGGUCUGAGAGGAUGAUCAGCGACACUGGAACUGAGACACAGUCCAGACUCCUACGGGAGGCAGCAGUGGGGAAUAUUGGACAAAGGGCGCAAGCCUGAUCCAGCCAUACCGCGUGGGUGAAGAAGGCCUUCGGGUUGUAAAGCCCUUUUGUUGGGAAAGAAAAGCAGCAGGUUAAUACCCCGCUGUUCUGACGGUACCCAAAGAAUAAGCACCGGCUAACUUCGUG